AGGACGAACGCUGGCGGCGUGCUUAACACAUGCAAGUGGAGCGACGAACCAGGCUUCGGCCUGGGGCAAAGCCGCGAACGGGUGAGUAACACGUGGGUAACCUGCCCCGAUGAUUGGGACAACCCGAGGAAACUCGGGCUAAUACCGAAUGUGCCCUCCGGCCAUAAGGCCGCUGGGGAAAGGAAGCUUCGGCCUCCGCAUCGGGAUGGGCCCGCGGCCCAUUAGCUUGUUGGUGAGGUAAAGGCUCACCAAGGCAACGAUGGGUAGCUGGUCUGAGAGGACGAUCAGCCACACUGGGACUGAGACACGGCCCAGACUCCUACGGGAGGCAGCAGUGGGGAAUCUUGCGCAAUGCGCGAAAGCGUGACGCAGCAACGCCGCGUGGGGGAAGAAGGCCUUCGGGUUGUAACCCCUUUCAGUUGGGACGAAGGUCCGCUCGUUAAUAGCGGGUUGGACUGACGGUACCUUCAGAAGAAGCCCCGGCUAACUACGCGCCAGCAGCCGCGGU
rnacentral:rRNA from 1 species